GGGAAACCGGGGCUAAUACCGGAUAACACAUGAAACCGCAUGGUUUCAUGAUUAAAGACGGUUUUGCUGUCACUUAUAGAUGGACCCGCGGCGUAUUAGCUAGUUGGUAAGGUAACGGCUUACCAAGGCAACGAUGCGUAGCCGACCUGAGAGGGUGAUCGGCCACACUGGAACUGAGACACGGUCCAG
rnacentral:rRNA from 1 species